UUCAGUGCCUGUCUUUGUGGCAUUUGGGAAUACCAUCUGCAGAACAGAUUGUGUCAAAACGAAGUCACUGUUAUUGAAGCUUGGCUUUGGCAGCGAUGCAGUUACCGAAUUGUUGGUUUUCAAUCGCAGUUAUAUGCAUUGAAUAUGUCCUAUGUGUCACUUCCGGGAAGCUCUACACACUGUACAAGGACUCGCAUACCUGGAAUGAGGUGUAUGCAGUUUGCAGAAGUCAAGGUCAACAGAUGCUGACGUUCAAAACGGCUGAAGAACUCUGUGUUAUUACAUCGGUUGUGGAGAAAUGGAGAAGUG